UGGCUCAGGAUGAACGCUAGCUACAGGCUUAACACAUGCAAGUCGAGGGGCAGCAUUUUAGUUUGCUUGCAAACUAAAGAUGGCGACCGGCGCACGGGUGAGUAACACGUAUCCAACCUGCCGAUAACUCGGGGAUAGCCUUUCGAAAGAAAGAUUAAUAUCCGAUGGUAUAUUAAAACCGCAUGGUUUUACUAUUAAAGAAUUUCGGUUAUUGAUGGGGAUGCGUUCCAUUAGUUUGUUGGCGGGGUAACGGCCCACCAAGACUACGAUGGAUAGGGGUUCUGAGAGGAAGGUCCCCCACAUUGGAACUGAGACACGGUCCAAACUCCUACGGGAGGCAGCAGUGAGGAAUGUUGGUCAAUGGACGAGAGUCUGAACCAGCCAAGUAGCGUGAAGGAUGACUGCCCUAUGGGUUGUAAACUUCUUUUAUAUGGGAAUAAAGUAUUCCACGUGUGGGAUUUUGUAUGUACCAUAUGAAUAAGGAUCGGCUAACUCCGUGCCAGCAGCCGCGGUAAUACGGAGGAUCCGAGCGUUAUCCGGAUUUAUUGGGUUUAAAGGGAGCGUAGGUGGAUUGUUAAGUCAGUUGUGAAAGUUUGCGGCUCAACCGUAAAAUUGCAGUUGAAACUGGCAGUCUUGAGUACAGUAGAGGUGGGCGGAAUUCGUGGUGUAGCGGUGAAAUGCUUAGAUAUCACGAAGAACUCCGAUUGCGAAGGCAGCUCACUAGACUGCAACUGACACUGAUGCUCGAAAGUGUGGGUAUCAAACAGGAUUAGAUACCCUGGUAGUCCACACAGUAAACGAUGAAUACCCGCUGUUUGCGAUAUACAGUAAGCGGCCAAGCGAAAGCAUUAAGUAUUCCACCUGGGGAGUACGCCGGCAACGGUGAAACUCAAAGGAAUUGACGGGGGCCCGCACAAGCGGAGGAACAUGUGGUUUAAUUCGAUGAUACGCGAGGAACCUUACCCGGGCUUAAAUUGCAUUUGAAUAAUCUGGAAACAGGUUAGCCGCAAGGCAAAUGUGAAGGUGCUGCAUGGUUGUCGUCAGCUCGUGCCGUGAGGUGUCGGCUUAAGUGCCAUAACGAGCGCAACCCUUAUCUUUAGUUACUAACAGGUCAUGCUGAGGACUCUAGAGAGACUGCCGUCGUAAGAUGUGAGGAAGGUGGGGAUGACGUCAAAUCAGCACGGCCCUUACGUCCGGGGCUACACACGUGUUACAAUGGGGGGUACAGAAGGCAGCUACCUGGCGACAGGAUGCUAAUCCCAAAAACCUCUCUCAGUUCGGAUCGAAGUCUGCAACCCGACUUCGUGAAGCUGGAUUCGCUAGUAAUCGCGCAUCAGCCGUGGCGCGGUGAAUACGUUCCCGGGCCUUGUACACACCGCCCGUCAAGCCAUGAAAGCCGGGGGUACCUGAAGUACGUAACCGCAAGGAGCGUCCUAGGGUAAAACUGGU
rnacentral:rRNA from 1 species